rnacentral:piRNA from 1 species
UGAGAUUCCACCUCACACCAGUCAGAAU